CCCUACUUCCUAAUUAACUCCACGGCAGCAAGUCUGUGUUCCUCUGCCCGGGCAACGAGCCAGCAUCCUGGCAUGCGCCUGCCUGCGGGCUAGAGAUGAGCGCCCCACACACACAGCCUGGAACCACCUCCUCACUUCAGCAGCAGGGACCCUCUUCGACCUCAGGACCCACUGCCUAGGGAAUGGAGCCACCCACAGUGGACUAUGUCCGCCCACACCAAUUAAGACAAUGAAGACAAGCUCCCAGAGAUGAUCACACAGGUCUGACCAGAACUCGGAGGCUUUUCAUUUUCUUAGAGAGACAGCUCUUCUGAGGAGUACCAUGGGGAGACUUCCACCACCUGAGCUGGAAGGGAAGAGCAGUGGGGUCAGGAGUUGAGCCUGACUGUGAAGACCCUGAAGCUCCUUUCUUCAAACUGCAGCCUCCUUCAGUGCCCCUUAGGAACGCCAGUCAAACCUCGCCGCCAUCUUGCUUUUUACCAUUCAGAGAGGAGAAGGCAGAUUAAAAAUACAUGACUGGCAUUUUCCAGGUUGCCCUGCUGAGCACCGUGAAGGCCCUCCUGCCUCUCUCCUACCCCGACCCACUCUGAAAUCCAAGGCAUCUCCUGGAGCAAAAGUGGAGGGGGUGGUGGUGCGAGGGGGCAGAGGCGCAGGGAGCAGAGGGGGUAGGAGGAGGCUUUGUGCUUUAUUGAAAGAAGGUUUCUUUUCAUUCCAGACUGCUGCCUAUGCCGAGGUCCCUCAAAGCCUGGGGAUUCGAGAGUAAGCAAAGAAAUCCAAUACCCCAGCUUUCCAGCAAGUGGGCUCAGCAGAGGAUUAGGUGGGAGCCUGGGCUGCUCUGAACCCUGGUUUCUAAUUGGACCUUGCUGACCCUCAGAGAGACUUUUAAGAAUCUGACCCGGCGUCUCUGUGUAUGGGGAUGGCGAUGAAAUCUCCUGUCCCAGCGCUGCUCAGGCCUCCCUUUGCUGAAUGACAGGCCAUCGGGCAAGGAUGUAUGGAAGGAGCUGACUAGCCCAGGGAUAGAUCGCUUAGAGCAGUCUACAGUGUCACACACGGGCCCCUCUCCACCCAGCAAUGUAUUUUGAGGGUCACUUCUGUGCAAGGCUCCGACCCUGAGUAGAGUCACAUGGGCUGCUCCGGGAACUCUGAGCGGAUCAUCCGUCCAGCAUUUACCAACAACACACCACAGGCUUUCUUCUCUACCCUCAAGACAGCCCAGGUGCCGGGCACUUUCCCAAUUAAAAGACAAACAAACCAAAGCAGGGCCCAAAGGGUUAGGAGUGGGGGUACUGGGUUCGAGUCUGGUUCUUUCAUGUAAAAAAGCUGGGACGUCUAUGUUUCUAUGUUUACCCAAGUUAGGGACUGAAAGGAGAGCUAAGUCAGAGCCCCACUCCCCUCACAAGCCCCUGUGUGAGGGAGAGGGAUGAGGCCCACAGAGGCUUCCUGUCCUCUCCUCUAGCCUCAUGCUUGGUUUAGCCUCUUUUCCCCACAUAGGUUUGAGGUGACCCUGUAUAGUGGAAAUGGGGGGAUAGUUUUAUGUCAACUUGAUGUAAGCUAGAGUCAUUUCGAAGGUGAAAACCUCAAUUGAGAAAAUAACUCCAGCUAUAGGGAAUUUUUUUAUUUAGUGAUUGAUGGGGGAGGGCUCAGCUCAUUGUGGGUAGAGCCAUUCCUGGUUGGGUAAUCCUGGGUUCUAUAAGAAAGCAGGCUGAGCAAGUCAUGGGAGCAAGCCAGUAAGCAGCACCCCUCCAUGGCCUCUGCUUCAGCCUGCCUCCAGGCUCCUGACCUCUGAGUUCCUGCCCUGACUUCCUUCGAUGAUGAACAUUGACCUGGAAGUGUAAGCCAAAUAAACCUUCUCAUCCCCAA